rnacentral:rRNA from 1 species
GACGAACGCUGGCGGCGUGCCUAAUACAUGCAAGUCGAACGCUGAAGGAGGAGCUUGCUUCUCUGGAUGAGUUGCGAACGGGUGGGUAACGCGUAGGUAACCUGCCUGGUAGCGGGGGAGAACUUUUGGAAAGGAAACCUAAUACCGCAUAGGAUUAGAUGUUCCAUUACAUUUACUUAAAAGUUGCAAUUGCAUCACUACCAGAUGGCCCUGCGUUGUAUUAGCUAUUUGGUGGGGUAAGGGCUCACCAAGGAAACGAUACAUAUCCGACCUGAGAGGGGGGUCGGCCACACUGGGACUGAGACACGGCCCAGACUCCUACGGGAGGCCGCAGUAGGGAAUUUUCGGCAAUGGACGGAAGUCUGAACGAGCAACGCCGCGUGAGUGAAGAAGGUUUUCGGAUCGUAAAGGUCUGUUGUAAGAGAAGAACGAGUGUGAGAGUGGAAAGUUCACACUGUGACGGUAUCUUAACAGAAAGGGACGGCUAACUACGUG